rnacentral:lncRNA from 1 species
AAAAUAUAACCAGAUGCUCCGCAGGGCACAGCUUUAUACGACCGCAGAGGUUGAACCCUGAACAGUUGGGGCAAGUAUGGACACAACAUUCAAGCUGGAUUCAGCUCUAAAUUUGGAUUGUGAUUAAAUAGUUGACACAGCAUAGGUUUCUGACACAGAAUGAAUGUGGUCUAAUGAACUUAAAAUAUUUUUUUGCCAUUGAGCAAUUCACUAUGCUGUUGAAUAUUAAUCCUCUCAAAAAAAUGUUUGAAGAAAUUUUCUUUUUAUUUAUGAAUUAUGAAAU